GUUGGUGUAGCUCAGUGGUAGAGAGUGUGCUUAGCAUGCACAAAGUCCUGGGUUCAAACCCCAGUACCUCCA
rnacentral:tRNA from 1 species